rnacentral:lncRNA from 1 species
CGACAAGAUGGAACUACGACGGCAAUAAAUCCAGCUUAAUGUACGUUAAUUUUCGCGCUAAAAUACAUUUAAAGUGCCAUGCGCGAUAUGCACUGGUCAGUCUAAUACGACAGUUUAGAAAGACGUUCACAAAACAUGCAGCUCAUAUCAUAUGAUUCUAUGAGAACAAGAAAGGCGACAGCGUUGUUUCUAUUAAUUCAAAUGGAACAAGAAGAGCAGCUAUUACAGGCUCAGGAUUUACUUUUACAACUUAAAAUAUCAUUUUUUGUCAAUUUUUCAUAUCAAGUAACAUAAUGAAAAUCAUAAACGCGCCUCGAACACCAACACUGCAGGUACACGUACAUAGGGAAACCAACUUUUUCUUCAUUAUUCUGAUUUUUUAUGAAUCGUCUGAGUUGUUGUCACACGAAUAUUUACUCCAUAACCAUUUUGUUUUCUAUAUGUCAUAUUUUGCCGCAUUUUUUGCUUUCCCCACA